GUUCUGGUGGAUUUGCUUUAAUGCAAGAUUCUAGAGUUUACUCCAUACGUUUAUUAAUUGUUGUUACGAUGAUGUUAAUAUAACAACAACUGAAACAAUCUAUAUAAUUCUUAUUUUCUUCAGCAGUUAGUUUACUGAAUUUACUUUGCAUAUUAUAAAACAGUCAUUAAAUGUUCUCAAAUUUCUUCUCUAUUAAGCAAAU
rnacentral:lncRNA from 1 species